AAACUUUCAACAAUGGAUCUCUUGGUUCCGGCAUCG
rnacentral:rRNA from 1 species